rnacentral:rRNA from 1 species
UACACUCCUGCGGGAGGCAGCAGUGGGGAAUAUUGGACAAUGGGCGCAAGCCUGAUCCAGCCAUGCCGCGUGAGUGAUGAAGGCCCUAGGGUUGUAAAGCUCUUUCACCGGUGAAGAUAAUGACGGUAACCGGAGAAGAAGCCCCGGCUAACUUCGUGCCAGCAGCCGCGGUAAUACGAAGGGGGCUAGCGUUGUUCGGAUUUACUGGGCGUAAAGCGCACGUAGGCGGACUAUUAAGUCAGGGGUGAAAUCCCGGGGCUCAACCCCGGAACUGCCUUUGAUACUGGUAGUCUUGAGUUCGAGAGAGGUGAGUGGAAUUCCGAGUGUAGAGGUGAAAUUCGUAGAUAUUCGGAGGAACACCAGUGGCGAAGGCGGCUCACUGGCUCGAUACUGACGCUGAGGUGCGAAAGCGUGGGGAGCAAACAGGAUUAGAAACCCGAGUAGUCCCAUGAU